AGGACACAAAUGGGCUUUGUCUUGGGGAAGAAGGCCGAGGAAAAGGCAGCACACCCAGCGACGCAAAGAUGCUGCUGUCAGAUGUUCUGUUCAUCCUCCUUUUCAUUUGCUGCUGUCCAUCCCUCCAUUCCUGACGUUUUCGGACACCAGCUCCUGCCAGCUGGGAGCACAAGGAGACCAGGUGACUAUUGUCUAGAAUCUACCAGUGUUCUGAAAAUGGCCUCUUUCCUGUCCACCAAAGGGGAAUCAACAAUGCCAUGGAGAUUUAAAUCAUCAUUAAUGAGGACACUUCUUUAUUAGAAAAGGUAAAAAAAAACUGGAGAAAUUAAAAUGGAUGAAAAAUAUUCUUCAAUCAACUAUGAGUUGGAUUGAUAAAUCUGGUUCUGCUGCCUGUUGAAUGUGAAUAUACAAGAUCAAUUUGGAUGCAAUCAUUGACAAAUUUGCAAAAGUCCCCAAAACAAAAACUGGUAUGUUCUCUGUUACCAACAUACCGGCAAAAGGUUUUGCCCUUUUCUUUAAAAAAAAAAAAAAAAAACACCUAAUUUAAAAGUAUCUACUUUCCCCCCUUUUUUGGUAAUGUAGUAUUUAUUUACUUGUUUAUUCAUUUAUUUAUUUAACUGCCUUGAUUAUAUACGUCAAGUUUAAUAAAAGAAAAAUUUCACUAUCUGCA